rnacentral:rRNA from 1 species
AUACGGAAGGUCCGGGCGUUAUCCGGAUUUAUUGGGUUUAAAGGGAGCGCAGGCGGGGAUGCAAGCGUGACGUCAAAUUUCGGGGCUCAACCCCGUCUCGCGUCGCGAACUGCGUCCCUUGGGUGCGGGAAGGGGAGGCGGAACUCGGGGUGUAGCGGGGAAAUGCAUAGAUAUCACGAAGAACUCCGAUCGCGAAGGCAGCCUUCCGGCCCGUCAACGACGCUCAUGCUCGAAGGUGCGGGUAUCAAACAGGAUUAGAUACCCUGGUAGUCCGCACAGUAAACGAUGGACACCCGCGGUUUGGCCUGUAUGGCUGAGCCGCCAAGCGAAAGCGUUAAGUGUCCCACCUGGGGAGUACGCCGGCAACGGUGAAACUCAAAGGAAUUGACGGGG